UUUGGUUGAGAACUCACCCCCUGGCUCCGAGCCAGUCUUUGUCAAAUUCAAACUUGAUCGAACCUGACUUGGGACCAGGGUCAAACCUGCUAGUCCCGAUGGGCUCCAUCGAUUGAGUGUUAGAAGUGACCUAAAGAAAGUUUUAGCAUCUGAUCACUAUUAAAGAAGCAAGUGACAAACCUGGACAGUUACCCAGCUGGCAUCUGCUUUCUUGCCUCCACCCAAGCCCACUUUCUUCCCGAUGGAGGAAAGGGGUAUCAAAAUCGCGCCCAACUUCUCGCCAUUGAUCAUCCCAGGCCAUCCCAGCUCGGCAUUGCUGUUCAAAUUGGUCGCUCCUUCAACGUUUCCUUUAACACUAGGGAGCAUCUCGCCCCUUUCUGUCUGGUCGGUCACCCGUUCACCUCCAAUGCUAGGCCCGCCGGAAGUAGUCUCCGAGGCAGAUGGAGCAGAGGGACGUUCCUUGACAGAGGAGGAAGCACGUCGGAACAUGUUCUUCAUUCGAGAAGCAAAUCCGGGUUCAUUUCCACCCUCGUUCUCAGCAAUAGCUGACUCAUUAGGGUGGGUAGAUGCCUCAUGAGUCGCGCGAGAAGGGAUAGCGGCGGAAAGGGGUGCAGGGCGGGUCGUGAGAAGCGGGUUGGGAGGCUGCGUGAGAGGGAGAAGAACUAUUACCACUUUCCUUCAACCUUAUCAUCAUCUUUCUUUCCCCCAAAACUAAGUCUACGCCCUCCACCGCCACCUCCAGUCUCUCCAAAGGAACUCUUCCUCCUUCCUCCCCCAGAGAUAACUCUGGUGAGAACAUUACCUUCAUCUUUGUCGGAUCCAAAAGAUCCGGCAGAAAGACGUCGGGAUUUAGUGUCAGAAGAAUUGAUAUCGAUUACCGCAAGGCAGGGGUACAGCUGUUUGGGUUUAUUGAUUUCUUGCGAAGAUGUGUGGAACUCCAUGUUCGAUAGGUGGCUGGGGUAAAGGCAAAAAGAAGCUGGUGAGAGGGCAGGAAUUAUCAAGGUGGCAAGGGUAUAUAAACCCCUCAUUGGACGUGGGAAAUGCGUGCUAGUGACGUUAGAGAUCCUAUCACAUAUUGACUAUCACCUGACAAUUUC
rnacentral:sRNA from 1 species